AGAGUUUGAUCAUGGCUCAGGAUGAACGCUAGCUACAGGCUUAACACAUGCAAGUCGAGGGGCAGCAUGGUCUUAGCUUGCUAAGACUGAUGGCGACCGGCGCACGGGUGAGUAACACGUAUCCAACCUGCCGUCUACUCUUGGACAGCCUUCUGAAAGGAAGAUUAAUACAAGAUGGCAUCAUGAGUCCGCAUGUUCACAUGAUUAAAGGUAUUCCGGUAGACGAUGGGGAUGCGUUCCAUUAGAUAGUAGGCGGGGUAACGGCCCACCUAGUCUUCGAUGGAUAGGGGUUCUGAGAGGAAGGUCCCCCANAUUGGAACUGAGGCACGGUCCAAACUCCUACGGAGGCA
rnacentral:rRNA from 1 species